GUGGCUGAGUGGUUAAGCGCUUGGCUUCCGAACAUGGGUCCUGAGUUCGUAUCUCGGC
rfam:Biomphalaria glabrata isolate BB02 unplaced genomic scaffold LGTN_random_Scaffold1569, whole genome shotgun sequence.